UACGUAGGAUGCAAGCGUUGUCCGGAUUUAUUGGGUUUAAAGGGGGCGGAGGCGGCUUAUUAAGUUAGUGGUGAAAACGUUCGGCUUAACCGGAUACCCGCCAUUGAUACUGAUAGACUUGAGUGCGACAGAGGGUGUUGGAAUGUGUGGUGUAGCGGUGAAAUGCUUAGAUAUCACGCAGAACACCAAUUGCGAAGGCAGAUGCCUAUGUCGUAACUGACGCUGAGGCACGAAAGCGUGGGGAGCAAACAGG
rnacentral:rRNA from 1 species